rnacentral:rRNA from 1 species
GUUUGAUCAUGGCUCAGGAUGAACGCUGGCGGCGUGUCUAAGGCAUGCAAGUCGAAUGGGUUAGACCCAUGGCAAACGGGUGAGUAACACAUUGGUAACCUACCUCAAAGUUCGGCAUAACUCCGCGAAAGUGGAGAUAAUACCGGAUGUGGUCUGGCAACUUUCGUUGCCCGACUAAAGAUUUAUCGCUUUGAGAGGGGCCUAUGGCCUAUCAGCUAGUUGGUAAGGUAAUGGCUUACCAAGGCUACGACGGGUAGCGGGUGUGAGAGCACGACCCGCCUCACUGGGACUGAGAUACUGCCCAGACUCCUACGGGAGGCUGCAGUCGAGAAUAUUCCCCAAUGGACGAAAGUCUGAGGGAGCGACGCCGCGUGACUGAAGAAAUCCUUCGGGAUGUAAAAGUCUUUUCUCAGGGACGAAUCAAUGACGGUACCUGAGGAAUAAGGGGCUGCUAAUCACGUGCCAGCAGCAGCGGUAAUACGUGAGCCCCAAGCGUUAUCCGGAUUUAUUGGGCGUAAAGAGUCUGUAGGCGGCUAGGUAAGUUUUUCGUUAAAUUCCGGUGCUUAACACCGGACCCGCGGGAAAUACUGCUUGGCUUUGAGGGUGGGAGAGGCAGAUAGAAUUGCCGGUGUAGCGGUAAAAUGCGUUAAUAUCGGCAAGAAUACCAAAUGCGAAAGCUUUCUGCUGGAACACUCCUGACGCUGAGAGACGAAAGCGUGGGUAGCGAAUGGGAUUAGAUACCCCAGUAGUCCACGCCGUAAACGAUGGAUGCUUGACAUUGGCAGUUUCGACCCUGCCAGUGCCGCUUAACCAAGUUAACACCUUAAGCAUCCCGCCUGGGUAGUACGAGCGCAAGCUUAAAACUCAAAUGAAUUGACG